UGGGGAAUAUUGCACAAUGGGCGCAAGCCUGAUGCAGCCAUGCCGCGUGUGUGAAGAAGGCCUUCGGGUUGUAAAGCACUUUCAGCGGGGAGGAAGGCGGUGAGGUUAAUAACCUCAUCGAUUGACGUUACCCGCAGAAGAAGCACCGGCUAACUCCGUGCCAGCAGCCGCGGUAAUACGGAGGGUGCAAGCGUUAAUCGGAAUUACUGGGCGUAAAGCGCACGCAGGCGGUCUGUCAAGUCGGAUGUGAAAUCCCCGGGCUCAACCUGGGAACUGCAUACGAAACUGGCAGGCUAGAGUCUUGUAGAGGGGGGUAGAAUUCCAGGUGUAGCGGUGAAAUGCGUAGAGAUCUGGAGGAAUACCGGUGGCGAAGGCGGCCCCCUGGACAAAGACUGACGCUCAGGUGCGAAAGCGUGGGGAGCAAACAGG
rnacentral:rRNA from 1 species